rnacentral:rRNA from 1 species
AUUGAACGCUGGCGGCAGGCCUAACACAUGCAAGUCGAGCGGAGCGGCGGACGGGUGAGUAAUGCCUAGGAAUCUGCCUGGUAGUGGGGUAUAACGUCCGGCAAAGGGCGCUAAUACCGCAUACUAUCAGAUGAGCCUAGGUCGGAUUAGCUAGGGGGUGGGGUAAAGGCCUUCCAAGGCUACGAUCCGUAACUGGUCUGAGAGGAUGAUCAGUCACACUGGAACUGAGAAACGGUCCAGACUCCUACGGGAGGCAGCAGUGGGGAAUAUUGGACAAUGGGCGAAAGCCUGAUCCAGCCAUGCCGCGUGUGUGAAGAAGGUCUUCGGAUUGUAAAGCACUUUAAGUUGGGAGGCGUUACCAACAGAAUAAGCACCGGCUAAGGACGUGCCAGCAGCCGCGGUAAUUC